rnacentral:lncRNA from 1 species
AAAUCUGUGCUCUAGUGGGAGUGGCAGACAGGCCAAGGGAAGAACCUCAAUGGUGUCCACCGGGGUCCGUGUCAGCACGCCUGGACCAGGUCAGAUCAAUGGCCCCCACCAAUGCCUCAUUCUCCAGAGAGGUCCCUUCUCUCACUGAGGUGCCCCCAGAGCCCACCAGGAUCCAAACCAGCGAAACCCUGGACUCCUGAAGCGAGGCGCAUGAACUUAACCACUCGGCCACGGCCACGGGGCGGUUCCUGAACUAUCAUGUGUGAAAAGCAUUCCAGGUGAUCUUAUUUAGGAUCAAAGUCUUCGGCAUUUCCCCAAGGUCAAGAAGAAGUCGUUAUCAGAUAAGCUCCGAAGGAUCUCAACAGAUAUUGAUUCAGAUGGAAGGAUAAAUCUGGUCCCUGUUACUCAAUCUUGGCUGGAAAUAAGUAUCUUACAGACCGCAUGCUAAGAAAACUGCUGAAUGUAGCACUGCUUGCCAGUGAAGCAGAGGGAGUGCGCUGUUUACUCGCUCCUCUCCCCAGGAUACAGAAGAGCAACAAUGGUCUGCACAUGUCAAGGGAAAUAUUAAACAGAGCCGGUGAAAGUUCAGACUCGUGGAAUUGGACAAACAAAGACAAUUAAACCUAUGAAGAAAGAGUGCAGUAUUUCAGAGCAAAGAUGAAUCUGGGCAAGUGAGAGAAAGGUACGUGCAGCCAGUGAGGGAGCUGUGGAGAGCGCUUCCUCCAGUGAGAACACAGCACACGCUCCUCCACAGCGUAGCUUGUAAGUGCAGGCCAAACGCUCCCUCGGAUCGGGGACCGUUUCCUGACUUGGCUCC